rnacentral:rRNA from 1 species
GACGAACGCUGGCGGCGUGCUUAACACAUGCAAGUCGAGCGGUAAGGCCCUUUCGGGGGUACACGAGCGGCGAACGGGUGAGUAACACGUGGGUGACCUGCCCUCAGCUCUGGGAUAAGCCUGGGAAACUGGGUCUAAUACCGGAUAUGACUCCAUGACGCAUGUUGUGGGGUGGAAAGCCUUGUGCGGCUGAGGAUGGGCCCGCGGCCUAUCAGCUUGUUGGUGGGGUGAUGGCCUACCAAGGCGACGACGGGUAGCCGGCCUGAGAGGGCGACCGGCCACACUGGGACUGAGACACGGCCCAGACUCCUAUGGGAGGCAGCAGUGGGGAAUCUUGCGCAAUGGGCGAAAGCCUGACGCAGCGACGCCGCGUGAGGGAUGACGGCCUCGGUU